rnacentral:rRNA from 1 species
CCUGCCCACUGAAAUUUUUAAAUGGCCGCAGUAAUUUGACUGUGCAAAGGUAGCAUAAUCAUUAGUUUUUUAAUUAAAAGCUUGUAUGAAUGGUUGGACGAGGUAAAAUCUGUCUUUAUUUAAAUAAUAUUAGAAUUUAAUUUUUAAGUUAAAAAGCUUAAAUUUAUAUAAAAGACGAGAAGACCCUAUAGAUCUUUAUAUUUUAAAAUAUAAUUUUAAUAAAGAAUAUUUAAUUUUUUAUAUUUUAUAUUAUUUUAUUGGGGUAAUAAAAAGAUUAAAUUAAUUCUUUUUGAUAUUUUACAUUGAUUAAUGAAUUUAUGAUCCAAUAUUUUUGAUUAUAAGAUUAAGUUACCUUAGGGAUAACAGCGUAAUUUUUUUUGAGAGUUCAUAUCGAUAAAAAAGUUUGCGACCUCGAUGUUGGAUUAAAAAUUGUUUUAGGCGCAGAAGUUUAAAAAUUUGGUCUGUUCGACCAUUAAAUUUUUACAUGAUCUGAGUUCAGACCGGUGUAAGCCAGGUCGGUUUCUAUCUUUAUAAUUUUAUAAUAUUUUAGUACGAAAGGACCAAAUAUUUAAUAUAUUAAUAUUUAUAUUUUGAAUAUUAUU